GGCGAGGAGCCGCGGAGCUUGGCGUGGGCUCCGGCGCAGGCCCGGGUCGGGCGCUCAGCAGCCGCCGUGUGCUCAGACGCCACUCGGUCGCAGCGACAUCCGCAGCCGCCGCCGCUUCCUCCUCCCCGCCCCUCCCCCCACGUCCCUCCGCCGGCGCCGCGCGGGGCACGCCGGGUAACGUGGCUGGCGACGUCGCCGAGUCAUGCCUGCCUGCUGCCGCUUGGAGCUGUGGCCGGUUUUCUUUCCCUCUCCCAUUCCAUUGCAAAGCGUAGGCGCGUUCAGAGAGAAGGACUAAAAACAAAGUGGGGCGGAAGAGAUAAAGCUUUCUCUGUUGAAAUUGAGACAUUGGCCUAGAAGUGACAGAUUAAGCCCACAGAACUGGAUAUAUCAAUCAAUGAAAAAAAAUCAGCAGGAAAAACAAAGUCAUGAGUGCAGUACUCCAGAGAAUACCCAACACAAAACAGGAUAAUCUAUGUGCUCAGAAUUUUAUGAACAUCAUCUUCCAGUCUAUUGAAGAAUCCUCCAUCAUGUGAUAAAGUCUGAGAAGAACUCAAUUCCUGUCAAAAAUGAAUUAAGAUUUACUAUCAAUCAACACAAAAGUGCAUGCAUGCAUUUAAUAAACCUGGUCAGCCACUAGAAGGAUAGAGAAUGAAAAAAAAAUAACAUAGAGACAAUCAACCAUCUGAUUCUUCUCUAUCUCCAGAAGAUAACCAGUAGAGAUACAUUUGCAAAUGUCCUUUUCUUUACUUCAUAUUUUUUGAGUUGGGUAUUGCUUGAUUUUUAAAUUAUUUUUUAUCCAUGUACCAUACAAUUUACCCAUUUAAUUUGCACAUUUAAAUGUUUUUAAUAUAUUCACAGAGUUGUACAACCAUAACCCAUUUAUAAAGUUACAUCAAGCCCAAAAAGAAACCCAGAACUUAUUAGCAUCAUUUCCCAUUCCCUCCUGAUCCCUCCCCUCAGCUGUUCCCUAGGCAACACUAAUUACUUUCUGUCUGUAUAGAUUUGGCUAUUCUGGACAUCUGAUAUAAAUGGAAUCAUACCGUAUAA